AUUAUUAUUAUAAGUUUGCUAAUUUAGUUUGACUUUUUUUGUCCUGCACCUGAGCCCUGUGUGGGUUUGUGGGAUGUGCGCAACUUUUUUUACACUUUGGUUUUCAUGGUGAAAACCAUACUUGAGUUAUCAAAAUGUAAGACCCAUUUUUCCAAAAAAUUCUACAAUUAAAUUUGGAUUAACUUCCUUGAAAACAUUUUCAAGAGAAAUGUUAAUUAAAACAAAACUUUUUGGCAUUGACUGAAAAUGCAUUCUAAUGUACAAUUUUAACCAAAAUUUCAGAGUGCU